AUGGGGGAGGGGGGUAGGCGGUUGGGCCGGGAGGGGGCGUGCGGUUGGGAGGGUGGCGCGGGCCCGGGCGGGAGAGGAGGGAGGGAGAGGGAGGGAGCAAAAAGGGAAGGAGGAGAAAGGGGGGGAGGGAAAGCGGGAGUGGUUGAAGCCGGCGGCGGCGGCGGCCGAGCUGGGUCAGUUCUCUUUAGUGUUUGCCAAUGUUGGAGGUGUCUCCAAACUAUCUCCGGGAAGAAGGGGCGUGGGGCUGGUGUGGAGACCAGAGCUGACUGGGAGGCUUCAAGAGCAGGGCAGUGGGGAGCCAGGGCACAGGGGGAAGAAAGGACCCCUGCGGAGAGGUUGGAAGCCCUGCCAGGAAGAAUGAAAUCAAGAUACAGUUGGCCACCAUUGACUUUGCCGGGGCAAUAAAAGAGUUGAGUAAGCUGACGAAGACCUGUUUCAGAAUGAGCAGUUUUAGAGAAGGGAGUUAGUAUGUCAUCUCCGAAAAGGAAGGUUGGAGCUGCACCGAGUUACAGAAUGAACUGGUGGCAAGUCGAGAAACUUGAGUGAGGAAGGAGCAAAGAAUGACUUCCAGUUGGGGUAGGGGGGUUAAGGGAUUUUAGUAAUAUGAGUGGUCCCUCCUCAUAUUACAGAGCUCUUUGGAUCCAGUAGAAGAUAGAGAUGGAUCUUAUUACCUUCUUCAGUCAUGGUUGAAAACUUCAUUAUUCAUUAAUUGUGUUCAAAAUUGUAGUAAACUCUUAUUGAGUGAUUUUGCUGAUUCCUCAUAAGUUUCAAGAUAGGAUGUAUGCCUAAUAUGUAUUUGUGGUGGGAGGAGUAAUAUUAAUCUACUAGGGAAAAAUAUUCCAUUACAUUUUUAGAUUUUUAUACUCUUCAAAUAAAGAACUAUGAAUCCUAAGUUUCA
rnacentral:lncRNA from 1 species